rnacentral:rRNA from 1 species
UACGUAGGGACCAAGCGUUGUCCGGAAUUAUUGGGCGUAAAGAGCUCGUAGGCGGUCUGUCGCGUCUGCUGUGAAAACUCGGGGCUUAACCCCGGGCCUGCAGUGGGUACGGGCAGACUAGAGUGCGGUAGGGGAGACUGGAAUUCCUGGUGUAGCGGUGAAAUGCGCAGAUAUCAGGAGGAACACCGGUGGCGAAGGCGGGUCUCUGGGCCGUAACUGACGCUGAGACACGAAAGCGUGGGUAGCAAACAGG